UACGAAGGGGCUAGCGUUGCUCGGAAUCACUGGGCGUAAAGCGCACGUAGGCGGCUUUUUAAGUCAGGGGUGAAAUCCUGGAGCUCAACUCCAGAACUGCCUUUGAUACUGAAAAGCUUGAGUCCGGGAGAGGUGAGUGGAACUGCGAGUGUAGAGGUGAAAUUCGUAGAUAUUCGCAAGAACACCAGUGGCGAAGGCGGCUCACUGGCCCGGUACUGACGCUGAGGUGCGAAAGCGUGGGAGCAAACAGG
rnacentral:rRNA from 1 species